AAGUCCCGUAACGAGCGCAACCCUCGUCCUCUGUUGCCAUCAGGUCAAGCUGGGCACUCUGAGGAGACUGCCGGUGAUAAACCGGAGGAAGGUGGGGAUGACGUCAAGUCAGCAUGGCCUUUAUGUCCAGGGCCACACACGUGCUACAAUGGCGGAUACAAAGCGCUGCAAGCCCGCGAGGGUGAGCCAAUCGCAUAAAGUCCGUCUCAGUUCGGAUUGCGGGCUGCAACUCGCCUGCAUGAAGUUGGAAUCGCUAGUAAUCGCGGAUCAGCAUGCCGCGGUGAAUACGUUCCCGGGCCUUGUACACACCGCCCGU
rnacentral:rRNA from 1 species